GACCGAUCUAAGGUGAAACCGCGAAUGGCUCAUUAAAUCAGUCGUAAUUUCUUGGAUAGUGAAAAACUUUCCUCGGAUAACUGUGGAAAAUCCAGAGCUAAUACGUGCAACUGAGCUCCGACCUAGGCGCGAGCCUUGGGAAGAGCGCAUUUAUUAGAUUCAAAACUGACCGAUGUACUCCUCCGGGAUACGUCGAUUGUCAAAUGUUUGAUGACUCCGGAUAACUUAGCCGAGCGCUACGGUCUUUAGUACCGGCGCCGUAUCUUUCAAGUGUCUGCCUUAUCAGCUUUCGAUUGUAGGUUAAACGCCUACAAUGGCUGUAACGGGUAACGGGGAAUCAGGGUUCGAUUCCGGAGAGGGAGCCUGAGAAACGGCUACCACAUCUAAGGAAGGCAGCAGGCACGCAAAUUACCCACUCCCAGCCCGGGGAGGUAGUGACGAAAAAUAACGAUGCGAGACUCUUCCGAGGCCUCGCAAUCGGAAUGAGUCCAUCUUAAAUCUUUGGACGAGGAUCCAUUGGAGGGCAAGUCUGGUGCCAGCAGCCGCGGUAAUUCCAGCUCCAAUAGCGUAUAUUAAAGUUGCUGCGGUUAAAAAGCUCGUAGUUGGACUUUCUAGAUCCAUUUCGUGGGCGAGUCGCUCGUCGUGCUAGUGUCUUACGUAAGUUGUUUGACAAAGUUUGGAUUGCACACGUACGUACCUUUAUUCGAUAUAUCUCUACUAUAGCCGUCGGUGUUGUCGUUGUGUGGUAUUGAUUCGUUAGUAUCCGCACGCGCGCGCCUUCGCUUUAGUGAGUGUGUCGUUUUAGAGAUUACGAGCGUGGUUUUGCGUCCUUUCCGAAUCAUACGGACUGUGAGAGACGGUCUUCGGGUAUAGCUCGUCCGCGUUUGGUACAAUUAAAAUUUUGUCGGCUCGCUCGGAGUGCUCUUUACCGAGUGUUCCAGGGUGGCCGACACGUUCACUUUGAAAAAAUUAGAGUGCUUAAAGCGGGCUAAAUCACGGCCUGGAUGUCUGUGCAUGGAAUGAAGUAACAGGACCUCGAUUCUGUUCUUUUUGUCGGUUUUAAUGAACCGAGGUAAUGAUUAAAAGGGACAGACGGUGGCAUUAGUAUUGCGGCGCUAGAGGUGAAAUUCUUGGACCGUCGCAAGACUAACUACUGCGAAAGCAUUUGCCGAGAAUGUUUUCAUUAAUCAAGAACGAAAGUUAGAGGAUCGAAGGCGAUCAGAUACCGCCCUAGUUCUAACCCUAAACUAUGCUAACUAGCGAUCCGCCGAAGUCAUUCCCACGACUCGGCGGGAAGCCCCAGGGAAACCAAAGUCUUUGAGUUCCGGGGGAAGUAUGGUUGCAAAGCUGAAACUUAAAGGAAUUGACGGAAGGGCACCACCAGGAGUGGAGCCUGCGGCUUAAUUUGACUCAACACGGGAAACCUCACCAGGCCCGGACAUCAUAAGGAUUGACAGAUUGAGAGCUCUUUCUCGAUUUGAUGGGUGGUGGUGCAUGGCCGUUCUUAGUUGGUGGAGUGAUCUGUCUGGUUGAUUCCGAUAACGAACGAGACUCUACCCUACUAACUAGUCGGCGGAUCGUAACCCUGAGAUGGUUAGUUUGUAUAGGGGAGUUUGGCCUAGGCAAAGCGCUCGAUGAUGGGGGUUCUUCUGGAGCUUCCCUGUCGAGUCGUGAUGUUGAAGCUUCUCUCUGAUUACUGCUACUGCUGGGGGCGUCCGUCGCAAUGUAUCUUCUUAGAGGGAUCAGCGGCGUCUAGCCGCACGAGAAAGAGCAAUAACAGGUCUGUGAUGCCCUUAGAUGUUCUGGGCCGCACGCGCGCUACAAUGUAGAGACCAGCGUGCUUUCCCUCUCCGAAAGGAGCGGGUAACCCGUUGAAACCCCUACCCGAUUGGGAUUGGGGAUUGCAAAUAUUUCCCAUAAACGAGGAAUUCCCAGUAAGCGCGAGUCAUCAACUCGCGCUGAUUACGUCCCUGCCCUUUGUACACACCGCCCGUCGCUACUACCGAUUGAAUGAUUCAGUGAGGGCAUCGGACUGGCGCCUUCGGUUUAGUAACAUAGACCUUAGGCUGACGGAAAGAUGUCCGAACUUGAUCAUUUAGAGGAAGUAAAAGUCGUAACAAGGUUUCCCGUAGGUGAACCUGC
rnacentral:rRNA from 1 species